CGCGAAUGAAAAAACCACAAAAAAUCUCCCAAUUCUCGCAACCCCAAGCCGGCCAGCCCCCACGAUCUCGAAUCCCGAUGCUCUCAGCAUCUAUCAACUCCCGAGCGGUCGUCACCAGCGCAUGAGCUUUCUCCGCUCGCUGGCGAACUCCUUCUCCUCGCUGCUCUUCUCGUCGGGGGGCGAGACGGCGCCCAUGGACGCGGCGGGGUCGGCGCCGUCGCCGGCGGCGGUGGUGAGGGAGCGCGUGGCGGUGAAGCUCCGGGGCUACUUCGACCUCGCCAAGGAGGAGAUGGACAAGGCCGUGCGCGCCGAGGAGUGGGGGCUCCCCGACGACGCCACCGCGCACUACCGCAACGCGAUGCGCGUCAUGCUCGAGGCCCAGGCCGCGCGCGUCCCUGAUGCCGUCUCCUCCAGAGGCUUGCAGCGAGAGGGGGCAGGUCAGGGUGUACCAGGAGAAGAUCGCCAAGUGGCAGGCGCAGGUCGAGGAGCGGCUCAGAGUGCUUGGUCAGAGAAGUGCUGAAGGUGCCACUGCUGCAGUAGUGCCUAAGAAGGUUGUCAUGGUGCAAUGGUCUACUUGUUAGGCUAUGUUGAGGAGCUACUAAUAAACCUCAAGAGUUGGAUGAUGCUGUUCUUCGAAGACUGGUGAAAAGAAUAUAUGUGCCACUACCUGAUCCAAACGUACGGAGGCUACUUCUGAAAAAUCAGCUCAAAGGACAAGCAUUCAAAUUGUCGACCAACCUGGAACUGAUCCCUGGCAGACCAUGAUUUCGAAAGAUUAGUUGUGGAGACCGAAGGGUAUUCUGGAAGUGACCUGAGAGCCGUGUGCGAAGAAGCUGCAAUGAUGCCAAUAAGAGAGCUCGGGCCACAGAGUAUUCUUGCUAUUAAAGCAAAUCAGUUGCGACCUUUGAAGUACGAGGAUUUCAAGAACGCGAUGGCGGUGAUCAGGCCAAGCUUGCAGAAGAGCAAAUGGGACGAGCUUGAGAAAUGGAACGAGGAAUUUGGUUCGAGCUGACGGCGGCUCGCACUGCCUGUGCCUGAUGAUGAUCAAGCGGUCCUAUUUCCAUCUGUAUAUAUGAUUUAUGUCUCCCACGCUGUGGCUCACAACACAAGGGGUCACACCAUGCGCCCAUUGAUGCGUCCUCGUUGGGCUAGGCAGCACAACAUCGACAGAAGCAGAAUGUAAAGGUAUACUUCUGGCAACGGCCUAUACAGCCAUUGAGGGCUAGUUUGAAACACCGUUCAAGGGAUUUUCAUUUUUCAAAGGGAAAUUAGCUCAUUUUCCCUUGUAAAAAUGAAAUUUUUUUAGGAAAAUGGUGUUCCCAAACUAGCCCUAAGUAUUGCUGUUGCCCAAGUUAAACAAAAAAACGUGUCUAUUAUUGGGCUCU